rnacentral:rRNA from 1 species
CCUACGGGGGGCAGCAGUGAGGAAUAUUGGUCAAUGGACGAGAGUCUGAACCAGCCAAGUCGCGUGAAGGAUGACUGCCCUCUGGGUUGUAAACUUCUUUUAUAUGGGAAUAAAAUGUUCCACGUGUGGGAUUUUGUAUGUACCAUAUGAAUAAGGAUCGGCUAACUCCGUGCCAGCAGCCGCGGUAAUACGGAGGAUCCGAGCGUUAUCCGGUUUGAUUGGGUUUAAAGGGAGCGUAGGUGGAUUGUUAAGUCAGUUGUGAAAGUUUGCGGCUCAACCGUAAAAUUGCAGUUGAAACUGGCAGUCUUGAGUACAGUAGAGGUGGGCGGAAUUCGUGGUGUAGCGGUGAAAUGCUUAGAUAUCACGAAGAACUCCGAUUGCGAAGGCAGCUCACUGGACUGCAACUGACACUGAGGCUCGAAAGUGUGGGUAUCAAACAGGAUUAGAUACCCGAGUAGUC